CAAAAGGAUUGGGUCGGUGUACUGCGGGAAGUCAAAAGGGGUUGGGUCGGUGUAUUGGCGCUUAAUAUUACCACCUUCUUCGCUCUUCCAGUCUUCACUCGUCCACCGGAGAGGCUAAUCUCUGUAACUCCGCUCCUCCAAGACCCAAACACCCCUAUACACUCGCAAUCAUCUCUAUAAUCCAAAGAAAUUAACAAGAUCGCCGUAAGUUUUCAUUCUUCUCCCAUUCAUUCGUUCUUCAAUCAUCCUGCGGCUCCCCAAACACCGUCGGAGACAUGUUAGAGGGUUUUACUUGGAGGGGGACUCUUUCACACCGUCGUAUCUCCUUUCUUCCAGUGUUUCCUCUUUCUUUCAUUCUCGGGCGUUCAAGAAUCUUCUGCCUUUUCCCUCUGCGUCUCUUAGUGUAUUUCAUUGACAUCUGGUUGCGAUCAACAAAAAAGAAUAUAGAUCUUUCUCAUCUGAUCUCCAGGUAGCGUGUUUAAGUUUAUGGUAACUUUUAAUGUCAUGAAACUGUUUUUUUCUAAGCAUGCAUCAUCAUCGCUUGAAGGAUCAAACACUAUGCCCAUGGAUCUUCUUGAACUAUAUUAGAGGGUGAAGUUAUGCAGAGAGAAAUAGAAGUGAUUCCAGAGAUUGAAAUUUGAUUUUUUGGGGCAUAAGGUCAAAUGCGUGAAUCUUAAUCAAAUGAGGAUACUUCCAAGAGAUCUUCUGCUGCAUCUCCAUUGAAGUUAGUUCCUGACAUUGGGUUUAUCCCCCAUUAAUUAUACUGAUAAUGCCAUGUCUUCCAUCAGCAACUGGGGUUAAUAAGAGAAAUAACAACCAUCCCCCUUUUCGUCCACCAAAACUGGAUAAUUUGUUAUACAAGUGAACACCAAAGGUGCUUUCCCAUGGAAACCUGAUUGGCACACAUUACAUAUAAGAAAGGACAACAUGGAAUUGUUGGAUGACAUGGCAGAAUUGAGACCUAUUGUGUGAUUAUAUAACAAAGUAUAUUAUGGUGAAGUCAUCUCAUCUGAUGGUCUGAGAGAAACUAGAGCAAUACUGGAUCAGUCAAGAGCAACCAGAAAUCUUAGCUAACAACAACAUUGCCCUCAUGGGUUGUUGUUAGUAGGCUCAUAUAAUCUGCCACAUUAAUGUAUUUCAAUUAUUAUCAUCUAACAAAUCCUCAUUUUGAUAGAAGAGUAACUUAACUGGAGCAGUUGAGAGCACCUACGAAUGUGGAUACCAAGAUCAUCUCCAUUGAAGUUAGUUCCUGACAUUGGUACCUUACAAUUACAAGAUAAUUUUGUGUCUACAUGUCUGUAUUAUACUCUCUUCACUGAAAUUGUAUAACUUUAUGAUUUCUUCUAUUUUGAUUACUGAUUUAUUUGUCAUAUGCAUUGCUGCUUUUUAGGGAAAUGACAACCAUCACCAAAACUAGAUAAUCAAAGUGUUAACAUGUAAUUUUUACCCUUAACACUGUAACAUACUUCAUGCUUUUUAUGUUGUUUUUUAGUUACUCUGUUAUUUUGAUUUCUGUAAUUUUUACCCUUAAAGGAUGUUGUGUUGGGUGAUUAUGCCUUCAUGGAAAUGAUAUGCUGGUGUACAGGAAGUGAUGGGAUGAACAUACUUCAUGUUGAAUCAAUCAAAAAGAUUCUGAAUAUUGCAAUUAGUUCGCCUGCUGUGAUGUGAUGCUUGGACAAGCAUCUUAUUGUUACCUUUUAGCCAAAUCAAUUAUGUUAAGAAAGUAUGGAUUUUGUCUCAUUCUUUCUGGUGGUGAUCUGUACAAGAAAGAAAUGUCAUCAGGUAUUGCAAUUUUUGUAAAUUCUCUAAUAGAUAAUUUUGUACUACUUAUUAAAUAGUUUUCAUUAUCGAAUAUCAUUAUUUAAGUAACAAUAUGUGAAUGAUUUGUCUAUCUGUUUAGAGUAAUGUUACAUUUCUGGUCCCCGAGUGUAGCUGAUUUUUUUUCAAAUUUAGGACCAAAUUUGCAGAAAUCUGCUAUAUUUGGUGACCAAAAAUAGCCACUUUACUUGGAACAGUGAGCAAAAAUGGUACAAAAACCUUAGAUAAGGACCCAAAUUUUGUAAAGUUGCUUUAUUCAGGGACCAAAAGUAUAUUUUACUUUUGUUUCUAAGUUUGUGUGCUCUUCUAUAUUAUAUUCUUCUGAGAAACCCAUGUCUAUGUUGGAAAUCAGCCCUUCCUUUAACCCACCUGCAUCUAUAUAUAUAUCGACUCUCAUGUGAUUUACACAAGGAAAUAUGGACUUCUUCACUGCUAUAUUACUUUCUAAAGGAAAAACUGAUUACACAUUUAAUGAAAACUAUCUGCCCUAUUUAUAGACUACAGUCUGCUACACUACAUGCCACGUAAUCUAAACAAAAGAAAAGAGAAUAAACAUGCAACUAUUUCCCAGCUGUACUUUCUUCUUAUUCUCCAUAAUACACGGUCAAAAACAAGACUUGGUAACACCCACUUUCUGAAGACUUGGUCCAACAUGGACUAUUCAACUAUGAUCCAUUCCAUGACUACUGACCCGUGGAUUACUUGCUGACCCGCAACUCAUUUGUGACCCAUAACCCAUCAAGAUUACCUAACAAUUUGAAACCCAAACCCAUGUUUCAAACCCAUAGUCACUAAUAUUAUCUUCCAAGAUUUGAAGCACUUAUUCCAAAAUAUUGUGAAUUUAUGGUUCAUUAAUAAUGCAUAUAGAUGCUAAUUGGCUUCACACAUAGUAGCAACAACAUUGGAGCAGGAGACAUAAAUUAGGGUUCAUUCUAUUUUAGAAGCAACCAAGGUGAAAAGCAAAAUUCAUACAAUUUUUUCUUCUUUGGUUCUUUAAAUGUAUUUCAUUCCAAUUGUUUAUAACUUUUUGAUCAUAUUCAGUCUUAUAGUUUCCAAAGGAAUAUAAUAUGGUUUCCUGAAAUUCUUGUAGCCACAAGCUCUUCAGGUUCUGUUCAUGCUUUCUUUCUUGGAUUGGCUAUUCAUCAAAGGCUUUUGUUACUUACUGUAAAUCCAUGAUUUUCUUUACUGUAAAAACAUAUAUUAUUCAUUAAAUCCUACUAAUUGAAGAAUGAUGCUUCUUAUGAGUUUACAAGUUGUACUAUACUUUUACUCGAUUCUUAAAUAUUUUUUGAUAAUGGAAACUUUAAUUGAGAAUUGAGAUAUUGAUGUUUAGAAUCUUCAGUAUUUUCUAAUGAACAAUUAAUCUUCUGCAGGGAAAUAGAAAAUUAUGGCUUCAAGUUUUGAAUGAAUUAGGGCAUAAACAUCUUCACUUAACCUUUUGAAGUGGUAAGUACGUUUCUGUUUUUCCAAAUUGCCCUUUUGAAGGUAAAAAUAAAAAACUAUAUUUAUUCUCUUUUGCUACUCUAAAAUGCCACAAUAUCAACUUUAGUUCAAAAAUGAGAAUUGUAGCAAUGAAAUCUUGUUUGAUAAGUAUGAAGACGAUGACAAAUUGAGCGUAGUGCUUUAUUUAUCUUUGUCAUGUCUGGUGUGUUUAAGAUGGUUUUGUUUCAUUGAAAUCUAUUUUUGUGUAUAUGAUCCAUUGCUUUCUAUAAAGUAUAAAAUUUGGGCUGAUGUUUAUUGUGUUUCUAGUUUCUCUUCCAUUGCUUUGCAUUUACUGGUCAAAAUCUUGGAUCUAGUCAUGGUUUGAAUAUGUUUAGUUUGUUUACUCCUUUUUAAUCUUAUUUUAAUUAAUAUUAGCUAACAACAUCAUUGCCAUCAUGUGACAACCCGAUAUUUCAACUCUUUAUAACGACCAAAAUGGGUCAAGUAUUGUAACCACUUCUGAAUAAUAAAAAGUUACUUUCAUAAUAAAAUGUAUAAAUAAGUUCUACUUAAUUUCCUUCUAUGAUUAAAUGUCUUUGAACCAUGAUCGUAUGUGAAAAGAACGCCCAAAUCCGACUUCAUAUAGCGAAGUUAUGAUUUUUCCAAGUUCGGAUUAGCAACAGACAACUAAAAACUCGAAUCGGAAAUCGAGCGACUUUUGGCCGGAAUGACCUAAACGAGAAUCGAAGGUCUCGACAAUGGUAUUCCAGCGGUAAAAAGUCUGGCAUAAACCGACAUCAGAUAAAGAAGUUAUGAAUUUUCUAAGAAAUUCCUUAAACACGAUGGAUUUUUAAUAAAUAAUAAAAAA